GCUCAGAUGGCCUAGUGGAUAGAGCGCCCGCUUCUGAUGCAGAGGGUCGCGGGUUCGAUCCCAGGCUGAGCC